ensembl:lncRNA
CAGCUCCUGCACACAAAGAUCCACAGACAAACACAACACCCACUACAAACCAACAGGACGAACAGACCACUUACACAGAAAACAAGGACGAGAGAAAGAUCUACAGACAAACACAGAACACCCACUCCCAGACAACAAAACAAUUCAAAACGACAAACACAACAUUACCAAAAUACGGCCACAGCCGUAACAGUGCCAUAUGAUGAAAUAAUGUAAAAGAGGCCGUGAAAAACACUCCAGAAAGGUGUUCUUUGAAAAAAAAAUCAUCAUGAAUUUUGGCGCAAAAAAAACGCCUUACUAUACUAUGUCGAAAAAAAAUGCAAUUUUUCAAACAUGUUGUAAAAACGUGCCAUAUGAUGAAAUAAUGUAAAGGAGGGUGUGAAAAACACUCCAGAAAGGUUUUCUUUAAAAAAAAAAAAUCAUCAUGAAUUUUGGCGCAAAAAAAACGCCUUACUAUACUAUGUCGAAAAAAAAUGGGAUUUUUUAAACAUGUUGUAAAAACGUGCCAUAUGAUGAAAUAAUGUAAAGGAGGCCGUGAAAAACACUCCAGAAAGGUUUUCUUUGAAAAAAAAAUCAUCAUGAAUUUUGGCGCAAAAAAAACGCCUU